rnacentral:lncRNA from 1 species
UCUUCAACUACAUAAUGGGUUAUUUAGACCGUCGAUUGCUCGUUGUUUCCACUAACUUAUGCUGUAAACAUUUCUCCAACCCGUCAAUGAAACUUAGAGAAAAGUAUAAAUUUAGAAGUACAUGCACUUAGAAUUUUAGUUAAGUUUAUGUGUUGUUAGUGUGAACAUGAAAUGAGGCUAAAAGGUAAUUUCAUAGAUGAUGUAUAGUCAUAUCACUAUACUAAUUUAAAUUCCUUUCCAUUUAUGCAAAAGCAAGAAUAGUAUAGAGAUGGCGAGAACCUAGGAUGGCUAUGACCUUUCCUC